GACGAACGCUGGCGGCGUGCUUAACACAUGCAAGUCGAACGAUGAAGCGGGUGCUUGCACUCGUGGAUUAGUGGCGAACGGGCGAGUAACACGUGAGUAACCUGUCCUUUUCUUUGGGAUAACGGCUGGAAACGGCUGCUAAUACUGGAUAUUCAGGCUGCAUCGCAUGGUGUGGUUUGGAAAGGUUUUUUCUGGGAUUUGGUGGGCUCGCGGCCUAUCCGCUUGUUGGUGGGGUGAUGGCUUACCAAGGCUUUGACGGGUAGCCGGCCUGAGAGGGUGGUCGGUCGCACUGGGACUGAGAUACGGCCCAGACUCCUACGGGAGGCAGCAGUGGGGAAUAUUGCACAAUGGACGAAAGUGUGAUGCAGCGACGCCGCGUGGAGGGUGUAGGCCUUCGGGUUGUGAACUCCUUUGUCUCGCGAAAAAGGCACAGUUUUGGCUGUGUUGAUGGUAGUGGGGGAAGAAGCGCCGGCUAACUACGUG
rnacentral:rRNA from 1 species